rnacentral:rRNA from 1 species
AUUGAACGCUGGCGGCAGGCCUAACACAUGCAAGUCGAACGGUAACAGGAAGAAGCUUGCUUCUUUGCUGACGAGUGGCGGACGGGUGAGUAAUGUCUGGGAAACUGCCUGAUGGAGGGGGAUAACUACUGGAAACGGUAGCUAAUACCGCAUAAUGUCGCAAGACCAAAGAGGGGGACCUUCGGGCCUCUUGCCAUCGGAUGUGCCCAGAUGGGAUUAGCUAGUAGGUGGGGUAACGGCUCACCUAGGCGACGAUCCCUAGCUGGUCUGAGAGGAUGACCAGCCACACUGGAACUGAGACACGGUCCAGACUCCUACGGGAGGCAGCAGUGGGGAAUAUUGCACAAUGGGCGCAAGCCUGAUGCAGCAAUGCCGCGUGUAUGAAGAAGGCCUUCGGGUUGUAAAGUACUUUCAGCGGGGAGGAAGGGAGUAAAGUUAAUACCUGUGCUCAUUGACGGUACCCGCAGAAGAAGCACCGGCUAACUCCGUG